CAGUGUAGAGAUACUGAGCGAUGAAUGCGGGUAGUUGUUAGAGAAUAACUAGUACUGACUGUGACCAUACGAGAGAUCACUUGGAUUUCUACUCAAUUAUCAGUGAUCGUCUCGAUGCUAUAGUUGUGUGAAUAAUCUUUUGAUCUGUAAUGGUACGACUGCUCGUAGUGAGGCUACUGGAGUUUGACUGACAUAUAAAUAUGGCCUUGAUGAGAUCUUGUAGUAGAUGUUGGCG
rnacentral:lncRNA from 1 species